rnacentral:lncRNA from 1 species
CAUUAUUACCAAAGGAGCCAAGAAUUGUGGUGUUUAGAGAAAGACUGUAUCUGCAGGCUGAUGCUACUAUGGACCAAACAAAUGACUUGCCUCUGCAGGUCCUCUCCAGAGAGCCUGGUGUGGAGCCCCACAAGGUCUUCAGCAUUAACAUCUCCAUCUCUUGAACUAGUGAUCUGCCCACCUCGGACUCCCAAAGUGCUGGGAUUAUAGGUGUGAGCCACCGCGCUGGGCCUUGGCUUGCAGUUUUGAUCUCAGGAUUGGUAUGACUUUGGAGAAGACAGAGGACACAAUUGUUAAAGAGUCCAGAAUCUGGGAGAAUAAAAUAAUUUUCAGAGACUGGAACCUCAACCUAGUCUGGCAGGUGGAAGAAGGAUAAAAAGUUCUACUCUUAGUUUAAGAAAGUUUUCAUUAAUUUCAAAAUAUGCAGCAUAACAGCAACAUCUGUGUGAAAAAAUCUUGGCAUCUUUAUAAAUAGUAAGAGCCAAUGAAUCAAAUGAAGAGGUCGCCAUGAGGCUGAUGUGAUCUUCGUCAGCAUUAGUCAGAGCAUGGUCCCAGCACAGGCAACGCUGCUGUACUUCAUGCCAAAUCUGGUCCAGAAGGGUUGUGUGUGUGUGUUUGACUUUUUAAAAUUUGAAUCCAUUUCCAGCAUGCAAACAUUGUUAAUUUCACAUCUGGAUUCCGAGCUCCUCUUGAAACACCAUGUGGUCAGGUUGUCCUGCGCCCAUACUCCUGCCGGUCAUCAUCAUCUGGAGUGGACCAGUUGUCUACAGAGGCUCUCCACUCCCCACCACUCCAACUCACUGUAAUCUCCACCACUCCCUCUCGCCUUCCACACUGAGGGUGAGGGGCUCUUGUCAUUUCUUGUCACAUUUGUGCUACUGGCUUUCUGACAGUAGAUUUCAGAGUGAUGUGAGAUAUUUCUUUUACACUGGUCUCCAUCAAAAAUGAGCAACAGAUGAUAGCCCUCACUCUGUCACUCCAACAGAGAAUUCUUUCUAGGUCAUAAACAGAACAAUGGGAAGUCAGAUUGUGUUCUGCUGAAGAGUGUCCAUGGGCUGAAGGCUUUUGAAAUCAAAUCACAGUAGAAUUGCCUGAAGGAAGUGAGAGUGUAUAGCCUGAUGCCGAGAAGAAAAAGCCUGGGGGUAACAUACAGAGUGAGAACUGACAGCUCUUUUUAAGUCUUUCAAGGGCCAUCAUGUGGAAGAUGGAGUAGGAGGCCCAGCAAGCAGAUUUGAGAGAUUGUGCUCUGUACUUGUGCAAUCUAAUUGUGUCCUGUUAGAAAGGAGAUGUCCUGGGAAACUCAGAUUAAGGUUUCUAGCAACUGUGAAUCCAUUUUAUGAAUGGGAAGGAAAUGAGGCACAUGGUGACCUUCACCUGCAGCACCUUCCCUCUCAGUAUGAGGCCACCAUCUGGACGCCGAGACUCCUUUGGCAGAUUGAGAUCUGGAACAUGGAGUGAGCUACAACAAGGGCUGGAGAAUUUUAGUGGCCUCCAACAGAAGCUGAGAAACCAGAGAGGAGACUGUGGAUCUGAUGCUCCUGGGACUCAGAACCUUUAGAACUCUUUAUAAAUGGGAUAAAACUGGCUCUCCGGGGCUCAGACCCUAGGAAAGAAUAAUCCACAAUAGUUAACAAUGGUCUGGGCUUGGUCAGAUGGAUCUGACUUGCAUAUUUACUAGCACUUUGAUGUGAAAAAAUUAAAAUGGGAAGAAUAAUCGUGUCUAUCUCAUAGGAUGGUUAUUAAGUUUAAGUAAAAUAAUGCAAUACUUAGAAGCACUGAGCACAAAACCGGGCCUUUAGACGACAGCUGUAGUUACUUUUAUUCUAAUUUCCCUAUUGUUCUUUCCUGUGUUAUUCAUUUUCAGCUAUUUGUGGAUGCCAACCAAAGUCCAUAGACUUCAGUACAUUGGGUGAGGGUGUGGAGUCUGGAGUCAGACUGCCUGGUGUUACUCCUGGCUCUGACCCUUAUACCUGCAUGACUCCAGACUUGUUAUUUAACUUCUGUUUCUCAGUUUCCUCACCUACAAAUUGAGGAUGAGAAUUAUACUUCCUAGUUGUCCAGAGAAUUCAAUGAAAUAUAUCUGCGAAGCACUUAAAAUCAUACCUGGCAAAAAGUAAGCACUAAAAAAUUAUUGAAAAUUUCUAGAAAUUACUAUUGUAUUAUUGCAAGUAUGCUAAAAUACUGAAUCAAAUAUAUUCC